rnacentral:rRNA from 1 species
UAAUACAGAGGUCCCAAGCGUUGUUCGGAUUCACUGGGCGUAAAGGGUGCGUAGGCGGUCGGGUAAGUCUGACGUGAAAUCUUCAAGCUCAACUUGGAAACUGCGUCGGAUACUAUUCGGCUAGAGGAAUGGAGGGGAGACUGGAAUACUUGGUGUAGCAGUGAAAUGCGUAGAUAUCAAGUGGAACACCAGUGGCGAAGGCGAGUCUCUGGACAUUUCCUGACGCUGAGGCACGAAAGCCAGGGGAGCAAACGGGAUUAGAUACCCCGGUAGUCCUGGCCCUAAACGGUGCACGUUUGCUGUAAGAGGAAUCGACCCCUUUUGUGGCGAAGCUAACGCGUUAAACGUGCCGCCUGGGAAGUACGGCCGCAAGGUUA